rnacentral:lncRNA from 1 species
GAGGCUUUUUAACAAGGGCCAGGAAUGUUAGCUACAUGAUGUGAUUUGUCCCAUCCUGAGAGCAAUCACCUGGCUUGGGACGCUCCAAUUCCCUUUUUAAGUAACCAUCUGUUGGUGUCACUGAGGGGAGAGAGAGAAGCUGUAGUAGUGGAAAGAACACAGCCUACUGAGUCAAGCAGAUCAGAGGUUUACUCAUGUCUCUACCAGUUUCCAGCUGUUACAACCUGGGCACACAACUUAAACCUAUUUUCCAGCCUUCCUUGGAUUUAUGUGCGGCCAAGUCACUGAGUUCAGCUGAUGGAAAGUAGACAGAAGUGAUAUGAGUCACUUUCAUUUCUGUCCCAUAUAAUCUUUGCAGGCAGACUCCUGCCUACCUGUCCCUCCUGCUUAGCGCAAACAAGAAUGGUGAUCUGAAUCCAUAUAUUGAAAAUGGCAGAACCACAAGAUGGAAGGCAUUUGGGCCGCUGAAUAGCUAUGGGGAAGGAGAGCUUAGAUCUCACAAUUUGAGAAACUUUUAUUAUAUUAAACUUCUAAAAUUAGGAAUUUUAUGUUAGCAAGUAUUACCCCCAAUGAAUCCUAAGCAGGCAGGAUGCUCAGUCGUUCUUGUCCCUUUGUGCCUUGUCAGUGAGAGGAGCUGCUGUUCCUCCAUGGCUUCCUGCUCCGGUGAGCUCAGUGCCCUAAGUCAGGACCCGAGGCUGCCUCUUAAGCAGAGCUGAUUAUUUGUCUUGUGGCCACUGCGCUGCUGGUGCCUGUAUUGUUGGGGCAGGGCUGCCAUCUUCUAUGCUGGCUAGAAAAAUGGACCCAGCUCUCCCCCAAGGUGGACCCCACUGUUUCCAUCUGGAGAGCAUGUCAUAUACCCCUAGUGUCUUGAUUCACAAUCUCGUGUCCCCCAUUCAGUUUUAGCCAAAGCUAUGGUGAAAGUUCCUGAGUGGGCUUCGCAGGUUCCCACGAUGGUCUUUCAUUUCUUCCCCUGGUGUUUCUCUGACUUCCCCGACAUUGCUAGGCACUCAUUCAUCAAACAAAUAUGCCCAGCCCGGAGGUGGGGCAACACUCAACCAAUGGGUUUGGGAUUCAACAGAUAUAUACUUCCAGGUUGGUCUUGGGAGCACCAUUCUGAGAGGCAUUUUAAAUACUCCUUGGUAGGUCCCAGGUGGGACCAAGACCCAGAUGCUCACACCAGUGACCUUAGUAAUACACACAUAUGUGGUUGUUUCUUCCUUCCCUCACCAUCCCCAGCCUCUCAGUGUUGCUCCCUGAGUAGCACACCCACACCCCAGUCUCUGUUUUUGGGGAAGCCAAGCUAAAACAGGCGGUGAUAGGAUGCCCACUCUGGCCUCAUGUCUAAGCUUUGUCUUAAGUUCAACUUUGCAUUAUACUGUGGCAGAUAUUGAGCACUUCAUUAAAGCUGACUACUCUCCAUUCUCAAUUUCUUCUUACGUCCCCUCUCCAUCCGUUAGACCCUGGUGGAGAUGAGGGGCUAGUCAUGCGCUCCUCAUAAUCUCUAACAGAUACUGGGCCUGAGAAGAUUCACUGUGUCCAAAACCAGAGGGAUAGACCCCCUAAAGAAUUCUAACUCAGUGAUGUUUAUUUCAGGCUAAGGAUU